UUGACCUCGGAUCAGGAGGA
rnacentral:rRNA from 3 species